rnacentral:rRNA from 1 species
GAUGAACGCUGGCGGCGUGCCUAAUACAUGCAAGUCGAGCGAAUGGAUUAAGAGCUUGCUCUUAUGAAGUUAGCGGCGGACGGGUGAGUAACACGUGAGUAACCUGCCCAUAAGACUGGGAUAACUCCGGGAAACCGGGGCUAAUACCGGAUAACAUUUUGAACCGCAUGGUUCGAAAUUGAAAGGCGGCUUCGGCUGUCACCUAUGGAUGGACCCGCGGCGCAUUAGCUAGUUGGUGAGGUAACGGCUCACCAAGGCAACGAUGCGUAGCCGACCUGAGAGGGUGAUCGGCCACACUGGGACUGAGACACGGCCCAGACUCCUACGGGAGACAGCAGUAGGGAAUCUUCCGCAAUGGACGAAAGUCUGACGGAGCAACGCCGCGUGAGUGAUGAAGGCUUUCGGGUCGUAAAACUCCGUUGUUAGGGAAGAACAAGUGCUAGUUGAAUAAGCUGGCACCUUGACGGUACCUAACCAGAAAGCCACGGCUAACUACGUGCCAGCAGCCGCGGUAA